rnacentral:rRNA from 1 species
AUUGAACGCUGGCGGCAUGCCUUACAACAUGCAAGUCGAACGGCAGCACGGGGGCAACCCUGGUGGCGAGUGGCGAACGGGUGAGUAAUGCAUCGGAACGUGCCCAGUAGUGGGGGAUAACUAGUCGAAAGAUUAGCUAAUACCGCAUACGACCUACGGGUGAAAGCGGGGAUUCGCAAGAACCUCGCGCUAUCGGAGCGGCCGAUGUCUGAUUAGCAGUUGGCGGGGUAAAAGCCCACCAAGGCUUCGAUCAGUAGCUGGUCUGAGAGGACGACCAGCCACACUGGGACUGAGACACGGCCCAGACUCCUACGGGAGGCAGCAGGU